UACGUAGGGGGCGAGCGUUGUCCGGAUUUAUUGGGCGUAAAGAGCUCGUAGGCGGUUUGGUAAGUCGGGUGUGAAAUCUCCACGCUCAACGUGGAGGGGCCACUCGAUACUGCCAUGACUCGGAGUCCGGUAGAGGAGUGUGGAAUUCCCGGUGUAGCGGUGAAAUGCGCAGAUAUCGGGAGGAACACCCGUAGCGAAGGCGGCACUCUGGGCCGGUACUGACGCUGAGACGGCGAAAGCGUGGGGAGCGAACAGG
rnacentral:rRNA from 1 species